UACGAAGGGGGCUAGCGUUGCUCGGAAUCACUGGGCGUAAAGGGUGCGUAGGCGGGGUUUUAAGUCAGGGGUGAAAUCCUGGAGCUCAACUCCAGAACUGCCUUUGAUACUGGCAAUCUCGAGUCCGGGAGAGGUGAGUGGAACUGCGAGUGUAGAGGUGAAAUUCGUAGAUAUUCGCAAGAACACCAGUGGCGAAGGCGGCUCACUGGCCCGGUACUGACGCUGAGGUGCGAAAGCGUGGGGAGCGAACAGG
rnacentral:rRNA from 1 species